GAUGUUCACUGAAAUAAUAGACAGGGGCUUAAAUUCAGGUACUGAGUAUUUAUCCUGUGGGAAGUUUACCAUCUAUGUACACCAAGAUUCUUUUAUUUUACAUAUGUGAUAAAUCUUUGUUGUCUGCUUGGCUCUGCAUGAACAUUUGAAAAACAACAACAACAAACCACAUAAUUUAUUGACAAAUGCCAAACCAAAUGACACUUGCAUUUAACUAAAACUAAACACAUUGGUCCAACUCAAGCUGAGGAAAUACAAACAGGUAGCUUACUGAUUGUUUAUUUAUUUAUUAGUAAACUUUCAUGCAGACAUUCCGACAAAAUAAUUCACUGCAUGUGGCAUUUAAAGCACGUUUGAUGCACACGGCUUUCUGCAAAGAAUUAUGGAAGCUACAAUUCCCAGCAUCCUUAACAAGCUACAGUUACCAGGAUUCUUUGGGUGGCUGUAAUUGAAAUGUGAUUUGAAUGUAUGGCCUACAAGAUCAGCAGUUGGUUGAUUCUAUGACUCAACCAACUGUUCUCACUGAGUCUGUGUCUGGAGCUCAUAUGACUGAAUUAUCCUACUACUGUACACAGAGAAACAAUUUCCUUUUACAGUAUGCGAGUGCUGGUAGAAAGUAUACCAUCACCAAGAGACAGAGUUAUGAAUCAGGAAAUCCCCAUUUUAGAUCUUUCAUCUGCUAGGAGGCAUUAGGCCAUGCUCUCUCAGUCACAGCCCACAGUUCAAAUGCAAAAACGGACAUAUAGUUCGACAAGGUGGAACAGACUCAUCCACAACAUUGCUAUGGGUGAGAGAACUCACCAGCCUAACCAGAAUGCCUAGGUGUGGAGAAUGAAAUAAAGGUAGCAUCUAAAGUGGGAAAUAUUGUAAUAACAGGUAGCUUCAGGUACUCUCACAUAGAUUGUGACUAUGUACACACCAUACGUUUAAAGCAUGCCUCUCCCCAAUGAAAUUGUCAUUUGCUCCUCACAGAGCUACAAUCCCCAGCACCCUAACUACAGUUCCCAUAAUUCUUUAGUGAGGGGAAAUUGGCCUUAAAUGUAUAAUCUGUAUGCAACCUGGGUCCAUGUGUGUUUCAGACAGAAGAAAGAGGGUAUUUUAAAAAAAGAAACUGUUAAAGACUGCCCUAGAACAGUUGGUCAUGAAAACAACAAGACAGAAGGCAACUCUGGACUUUAAUCUUGGGUGAUCUUAAGACCUGGUGUGAGAUGUAAAUGUUGUUGAACCGAUUGGGAAUAGCUGCCACAGUGCUGCCAAGCUCAACACAUAUGUAACUGGACAGUUGCCAAGCAAGUCAAACAGAGUCACAUUUGACCUCAAAACAAGAAACUUUUUUUUAAAAAAAGAGGGGACUGGUAAAAAGGAAUCAUAGAAUCAUAGAGUUGGAAGAGACCACAAGGGCCAUCGAGUCCAACCCCCUGCCAAGCAGGAAACACCAUCAGAGCACUCCUGACAUAUGGUUGUCAAGCCUCUGCUUAAAGACCUCCAAAGAAGGAGACUCCACCACACUCCUUGGCAGCAAAUUCCACUGUUGAACAGCUCUUACUGUCAGGAAGUUCUUCCUAAUGUUUAGGUGGAAUCUUCUUUCUUGUAGUUUGGAUCCAUUGCUCUGUGUCCGCUUCUCUGGAGCAGCAGAAAACAACCUUUCUCCCUCCUCUAUGUGACAUCCUUUUAUAUAUUUGAACAUGGCUAUCAUAUCACCCCUUAACCUCCUCUUCUCCAGGCUAAACAUGCCCAGCUCCAUUAGCCGUUCCUCAUAAGGCAUCGUUUCCAGGCCUUUGACCAUUUUUGUUGCCCUCCUCUGGACACGUUCCAGUUUGUCAGUGUCCUUUUUGAACUGUGGUGCCCAGAACUGGACACAGUACUCCAGGUGAGGUCUGACCAGAGCAGAAUACAGUGGCACUAUUACUUCCCUUGAUCUAGAUGCUAUACUCCUAUUGAUGCAGCCCAGAAUUGCAUUGGCUUUUUAGCUGCCGCGUCACACUGUUGGCUCAUGUCAAGUUUGUGGUCAACCAAGACUCCUAGAUCCUUUUCACAUGUACUGCUCUCAAGCCAGGUGUCCCCAUCUUGUAUUUGUGCCUCUCAUUUUUUUGCCCAAGUGCAAUACUUUACAUUUCUCCCUGUUAAAAUUCAUCUUGUUUGUUUUGGCCCAGUUCUCUAAUCUGUCAAGGUCGUUUUGAAGUGUGAUCCUGUCCUCUGGGGUGUUAGCCACCCCUCCCAGUUUGGUGUCAUCUGCAAAUUUGAUCAGGAUGCCCUUGAGUCCAUCAUCCAAGGGAGUUGAAAGUCAAGAGGGUAAAAUCUCUCCAGAAUGCUUGGGGACUAUACAAAAGCACAAUGAUAGAAGAAGGUCAGCUAAAAAAUAUAUGGCAGAUCAGGAAAGGUACCACCAGGGCCAAUAGGAUAUCAACAUGGUCAAGAACAGUCUGAUAAGCUGUUAGAAAGCUGCUCCUCCUCCUGCUGCUGUUGUUGUAACGGAAGUUGUUACCAAGCUCAGCAGGUCAAGUGUUCUCAUAGUGCUUGUGUCAUUGUUAGCUACUUGCAGUUUGAUAGUUUUGAACCUUUGGUGGUCUGUUGUACACAACUGCAGUGGCCUGUUCUCCCAACAUGAUCAUCUUCAGCUGACAUUCUCUUAUUAGUAGUUCUAAUGAGGUGUUUAGUGCCCACCUGCUACAAGCUCAAUCUAGUAAAUAACGUAGCUAGUACAGCCUGCUAUAUUGAGAGAAGUGUUUAGUAUAUGCAUAUAAGGAGAGAUCAAUAUCGGCAUCCAGAGUAUUGAUACACUGUAUAAAGAUUUGUUAUCAGUUUAUCUGUAAAAUUAUACAGUUUAUUUUGUAUGCCACUGAGCAGCCAUGUUUCACACAAACUCAGGGCAGGACUCAAUUAAGGGAGGAUUGAGGUCCACUAGUGCAACAGGCCUUUCACUCCUCUCCUGCCCCUUGUGGCCCCUUAAUCUGCACCGGAGGGUUGAGAGAACACCGAGAACAGGUUUAGCAGACAAGGGAAGAGAAGGUCCCUUCGCUCAAGUGGGUCUUGUUACACAUACGCAUAUCCUUAGGGUGGAAUUCAACACAGUGCAAAGGACUGUAAGUCAGCUUUUACUUAGAGUAGACUCAUUGAAAUUAAUGACAGUCAGUAACCUAGGUCAAUUAUUUUCAAUGAGUCUGCAACCCUAAGACUUGGUGGAUGCUCACAACUAAAUACUGAAGGGGGAAAUGUUCUUGGCAGUCAAGACAUAUCAAAAAUGUGCUUAGGUAUCAGGGAAAGAUCACAUGUUUAUUAACAGAAAUGCAACUAUUGUUCCCUUACUGGGUAAUUUCACAAUACCCCUCUCUCCUGAUUGAAACAGGGUUAACUUCUUUUUCCAAUGUAUAAUAUUUGCAGUUGUCUCCUUCAUAUUAGAGAACUCAGCCAUCCAUGCAGAGAACCAAGAACGCUAAUUAGGAGUCAACAGUGUGGCUCCCUAGCAUUGCAAACACACACACACACACACACACACACACACACACACACACACGAAUACACUUUAAAAAACACCCAACAAAGCACAUUCUAAAUCAUCCUAUUACUGGUGCAUGUGUGCUAGCUUCAGUCACCAAAAAUCUUCUAGCAUUCAGAAUGCUUGCUGGAGAAAGGGAGACCAUCUGGCAGGUAGAGAAAGUAGGCUUACAUUUGCUGUUUCUGGAAUUAUACUGGCCAUGCAAUUCUCAUAGCGUUUCUCCAGUGAUGGUAACUGCCGGAUAAUAUGAGAACCAUUGACAUCUUCCUGCCUCUCCAUUCACCAAGAAUGUGCUUUAUCUCAUGACUUCCUUAAAAAGGUGGUCCAGUGCAACUGAGGACAUUGAUAAUAAAAGAUAAAAAGAUUUUUAUAAAUGGAUGGCAUGAAACAACAAGACAAUCCGUUUCCAUAAAAAUAGCAGCACAUAACUAAUAAUAUCAAGAUCAAUUAGCCCAUAAUAAGAGCAGCUUCAAACAAUUUCAAUAAAGAUUACUAGCUUUGGGGGGUGGGGGACAGAGCAAAAGAGGUCUAUACCAACUCAUGAACAAAGUGAAUUCUAUUCAGGAUGUAUUUCGAAAUUAUAGGCGUAACUCCUGAGGAGGCUCUUUUCCUGGUUCCAAUCAAAUAAACCUCAGGGAGAGUUGGAACAUAAAAGAGAUUUCUGACAAUCGUUUUAAUAAGUGGCCAGGUUCAUAUGGGAAAGGGUGGUUCUUUGGCUAUCCUGGGCCUACACUGUGGGUCCCCACUUGUGAACAUAAGAAGGCCCCUGCUGGAUCAGACCAGAGGCUUAUCUAGUCCUGUAUCUUGCUUUCCACAGUGGCCAUAGACAAGUUGUCUAUGGGAAGCCCACAACCAGAACAUGACAGUCAUUUCUCAGGAACUAAUAGUCUACCUCUGGUUAUUCCUAGCAGCCAUUCAGUAGUGGAUGGUGUGAUGGGUGGCAUCACUCACCUGGCCAUUGCUUUUUUGUCAUAUCACUGUUGCUUAUUGAGAGGUAGAGGAGGAGGGGGGAGGCAACAGAAAAGUUGGUGCUGUGCAAACACAUUGGCUGAGCCAAUCCUGUACUUCUGCUGGGGCGUUUGCACCAUGCCAGCCUCUGCUCUGCCUCUCCCUUCCGCUUCUCUCUUCUGGUAAGCAGCAGUGAUGUGACUGUCUAGAGGGCAGGUGAGCAGUAGAACCUGCAACCCACUUUAUAGUCCUUGACAGCCUUAUUGUCACUAAUAUUGCCUUUUCAAAGAUGGAAAAUCUCUGUAUGUGUAUUUCUAACUUUAUCUCCGGGGCCAAAGUGAAACUUCUCACUGAAGAUCUAAGAUGGCAGAAUUUGGUAAUUUUUGCCCGCUGUCAGAUAAUAAGAAAGAAAGAUUGUAACCUUCACAUUUGUGAAUCAAUUGGUAGAUUUAUUU